UACGUAGGGGGCCAGCGUUGUCCGGAAUCAUUGGGCGUAAAGCGCGCGUAGGCGGUCAGGUAAGUCCGGUGUGAAAGUCAUAGGCUCAACCUAUGGAUGCCGCUGGAAACUGCCUGACUUGAGUCCGGGAGGGGCGAGUGGAAUUCCUGGUGUAGCGGUGAAAUGCGCAGAUAUCAGGAGGAACACCUAUAGCGAAGGCAGCUUGCUGGGACGUUACUGACGCUAAGGCGCGAAAGCGUGGGGAGCGAACAGG
rnacentral:rRNA from 1 species